rnacentral:rRNA from 1 species
UGAGGAAUUUUGCGCAAUGGGAGCAAUCCUGACGCAACAACGCCGCGUGGGUGAUGAAGGCCUUCGGGUCGUAAAGCCCUGUCAGGUGGGAAGAAUGUCCCGGGACUGAACAGGUUUUGGGAGUGACGGUACCACCAGAGGAAGCACCGGCUAACUCCGUGACCGCAGCCGCGGUAAUACGGAGGGUGCAAGCGUUAUUCGGAAUUACUGGGCGUAAAGCGCGUGUAGGCGGGUCUGCAAGUCGGAUGUGAAAGCCCCGGGCUUAACCCGGGAAGUGCAUUGGAAACUGUGGGACUUGAG